GCUCCUCGUUUCAAUCACGGUACUUCUCCAAAUCUCUACACUCAUCCCUUCCAAAUCCUCCAUCAGCGGCGCAUCUCAGCUUUCUAAUUUCAUGCAAUUAAUUCCUCUUUUUCCAAUGGAUCUUCUUCGUCACGCUCUCUUCCGUUCCUCCUCCUCCUCCGCCGCCGCUCUGCUGCCAUUGUUCGGUUGUUCCUCUGAGUUUUUGGCGUCUUCCGCCGCUGCCGCGACCACUCGCGUCGGACGAUCUCUCUCUAUCAUCCCUUGCGUCGCACGAGCCCCCUCCCUGUGAUUCUGUUGUUUAGGUUUCUAUCACAUGCUGGUAUCUCAAAACAAAUGGUAAUUUUGCCCUUUCCAUUCUCUUUCUUCUAUUUAAAUGUUUCUAAUUUCCAGCUUAGGGAUUCGAUCACCUGUUCUGAGCUUGUUCCACGAUUCUACUCUAUUUGUGAUUUUUUUGUGUGGAUAAAUGCAUUGCUUUCAAUCCUUCAUCUUGGUUAAUUAUUUUGGAACCCUAGAAUUGCACAUUCUUAAUUAAUCAGUGUUCUAGCAAUACAGUGAAAUUCUUUGAACUCUUAUAGAUAUAGAAUGGAAUUGAACUUCUAGAUUAUGGCUUCUCUUAAUCACUUAUUGCAGCAGAUAAAUUUAUCUAUGCAGAAAUUACAGUAUUAGGAUUAUUUAUUGCAGUAUUAUUCUCUCUUCUGUGAUUUGGAAGUUGUAGAAGUAGUUAGGUGAUAUGUUAAGAUAGAAUAUUGAAAGGUUCCUUUUUUUUUCUCCUUCUGUUUUAUGACCUUCUUUUCAGCUUAAAUAUUAAUGAAAAAUAAAAUUAGCUUUGUCUAUGACCUACUUGGCUGAGGAGUGAGGAGCAGAUAUUCCGAUAUGAUAUCAAGUUUGGUGGAAAAGCCCAAACAGCUUUUCAUGAAAGAUAUCAGGAUGCUGCCCAAGUAUAAUGUCACUGCCACGUUAAGAGUUUCUUCAUGUGAAACCUGGAAAAGGAGCAGCAUUUGUGAGAACCAAGCUCAAGAACUAUGUUACAGGGAAUACAGUUGAGAAGACUUUUAGAGCUGGAAGCUCGGUAAUCUAUUCUAAACUGCAGUUUUAGGGCUCAUGCUUGGAGUUGUUAUGUUCAUAAUUGUCACUUGAAUAGGAAAAGGAAAUGUUCUGGAGUUUUAGUAGCUAUUAUCCUCUAUUAAUAAUAUUACAUAACACAACUCUCCUCUAUUAUCCGAGUUCUGGAGAAGCUAUGCAAAGCACAUCAGUGAAAAAAUUGCUAAUCCGAGUUUUAGUA